AGCCUGCUUUAUUUACCAGGUGACUGCUUUCAGAGACAGCAUCUGUGAUGGAUACAGACUUAAGAGCAUCUAGACACAUUAUGUGUGUCACACACAUGCACAUGCAAGAACCUCCCCGUUUCGUUAACUAGGUUGAUUAGUUUAAAUUAAAAAUUGUAUUAGAAAUUCUUAAAUGUAUGUUUUGUAUUAUCUCUUUUGUUUUGUCACGUAACUUGCCUCAUAGCAAAAAUCCAUAACUUCCCAAUGUACAACAUCUAUCUAUCUGUCUGUACUGACUUUUCACAGGCAUUUACAAUUGCUUAAGUUACGGUUAAAGCAAAUUCAAACCUUAACCUUUAAUUUUUUUCUCACAGUGUAGCAAUUGUUACAUCCCAAUGUAUUUUUGACACAAUAUAGGCGUAAUGUCAGCACAGGUCAUGACGCAGUUUAGACAAUCCUCACGCAAGAUGUGUAAACCCGGGUAAAGAGAUCUCUUUGAGCCAGCAGAGUCUGGAACAAACUCGUUCCUGAUCCUGUUAAGACUCACACAUAAACAAUGUGUAAAGCGCUUUCAGGUCAAGCCCACUCCUUAUGCAUGUGCUGCCGAUUGGAUAAAAUGCAUGCAUGAUUCAUCUGGCAGACGCACUUUUUCCAGAAUGACGUAUGGUAUGUUCAAACUUUACUCUUUAUUAAGUGCGUUCCCUGGAAACUUGACCUCGGCAUUGCUUUAGAAACUCACACAUGACUGAGUUUCCAGGUCGGCAGCACCUGACUCUAAAACACUUACAGGUAAAAGUCACAAAUACGCUAAGAAAAUGGCAAAGACGGCAUCGAAGUAAUUAUUUCGACAAAUAAUUUUGAAUAAAAACGUUAAUGCUUUUGCUCUGCUAAAAGCCCUUCAGCUAUCAGUCAAAAACGGGAGUCAUAAAAGAUUGAAUGCAUUAUUUUGUCAUAAUAUAGAAUAAUGAAAAAAGUAUAACCAAUUAUUGCUAGGUCAGUCAUUUUUCUGUUCUCAUCACAAGUGUAACAAGGCGGGGGAAAUAUCCCAGAAAAGUACAAAAAUGAUAUUAUAAAAAUACUUAUGUGAGCAAGUCAGUACGUUUUAGUACAUUAGUCACCCAAAAAUGAAAAUUCUGUCAUUAUUACUCACCCUCUUAUUGCUCUAAACCCAUAACUCAUAUUUGGAACCGAAAUGACUGAUGUUACAUGGACUAUUUAAUGACGUCCUUACUAUCUUUUUGGGCCUUGAGCAUGUUAAUCGCUAUAGAGGGUCAAAAAGCUCUUCAUAAAAAUAUCUUAAUUUGUGUCCUGAAGAUGAAUAAAGGUCUUAUGGGUUUGAAACAGCAUUAGGUGAGUACUUCAUGAUCAGAACGACUGGAACAUAGUUUAAAGGUUUAAUGAUCUGCGAGUAAUAAGGAGCAGGGCAAAUAGGUUUUGAAUUCCAUCAGAACUCAUAUAUUAAAUGAAUCAUUCUGAAGCAAGCACAGCCAAUAUGAAAAGUAUAUAAGUCUACUUGUGCCACUUAUGAUAUCUCGUAACCAAAUACAGCCACAGGUCACAACUUCAACAGAAUGAUUAAAAAAAACUACUUGGAAAAUGACAGGAAACUAGAACCCCAUUGGUUUCUGUGCGUUCUGUGAGUCUGCGAGCGUGGAACGGCUCUAUAUAAACAAACACACAAUCGUGUUUCCAUACGGGCUGCGUAUUUCUCUUAAAACAUCAAAGUUGCUCAAGAGGAAACUUUAUUGGCAACAGCAUCACAAGGUUAUGUAAUGGGCGUACAUAGAUGCGUGCAAACACGUUGUAUGGCGUAAGCCGAAUAAUACUGCCUUACAGACAUGAGUCAUUACUCACCGAAAGUGCUGAAAUUAUAGAUCAGGUGAAACACAUCCACUGGUUUGUACCCUCCCUCAAAACAAAAGAAAAUAUCUGGCUCAUGUCUGUUCAAACGUUUACACGUGAGGUCUUUUCCAAAGAAGUCUCAGGCUGACCUGUUCUGAAAUACUGAACUGAACUGCAAAAUACUUUAAAAUUGUGAAAUAUUACAGUUUGAAAUAACUGUUUUCUAGCGUAAAAUGCACAGCUGAAUUUUCAGCAUCGUUACUUCAGUCUUCAGUGUCACGUUAUCAUGAUUCAGAAAUUGCUGCUCAAGAAACAUUUCUGAUUAUUAUCAACUUGAUACAUUGUUUUAAAUGAUUUUUGAUGAUUAUAAUAUUCAACAGAGCAGCAUAUAUGUGAAAUAGUAGUCAUAUAUAUAUAUAUAUAUAUAGUCAUGAUUUACAUUAAAGUAUAUCUAGACACAACUGAACUAGUUCUUUCUUUCUUCCUCUUUCUGUAUUUGACGUGUCCACAGGAUGUGGGAAUGUGAGGAGUGUUUCUGUAAAAUAUUUCUAGGUCCUGUCAGGACGUGCCAAGGAAGACAUCAUUUAGCUUGAGAUCGUUGAUAAGUUGCCCUAAAAUGAGCUUUAUUCAGCAGCAAAAAUGUGUUUCAUUGCAUCUGUUCAAAUGUAACGGCACAGAAUGGGAUUUUUAACACCAAUCCCCCAACAGCCUUUCUGAAGGCCCGUUCGAUGAGGACGAAUACUAAAGUUUCGGGAUGUUUAAGACGGUCCUUAGUUGAUCGUGGGCUGGUUUAAGCUGGUCCUGAGCAGGAACUAGUUGUUUAGGACCGGCUCAAACCGGCCGCCACGUUUCGAAACAUACCUAACCAGCGUAUUGCUGUUUUCAGCAGGAAAUGAACCACCUGCUUGUGACAAUACAACGAUCAAAAACAGUUUUACAUCAGCUCUUUUGAGCUCUUGGAGGUUGGCGUUUAAGUUACUAAUGUUCACUGUUAAGAAGCAGAUGCAAAUAAUUGAAGAAAUAAUCCACUAUUGUGGCUAUUCCACCAUAAUUCCACUUUUGACGAAUAGCCUCUUCUGUUUUGGCAACUUGUUUAAUGAGAUAAAAGCGUAAUGACUUCAACAACCAGUGUUAUUAAGUUCAAGUGAAAAGAAGCGGAUGGAUUUGCAAGGCUUUUCUUUUCUGUUACAUCAUGUCUCAAGAGGCUAUGGCUUUAGCAGGUGACCGCAAAGUAUAAGCCAUUCAUUUCAGACUUUUGAAACAAAGAGAUGGAGCUGAUCUCGAUAAACGUCAUUCGUGAGCUGCUGAGAACUGCGACGACUGUCAGGUGCCUUCGUACCGGACAGACAGGCAGGACGAGCGCCAAGAGUUUCUCCAGUCAGCACAUUUCUCUUUUCAGUUCUUCCCGCAGAAAACCAGGGAGACAAAAGAGGGAGAUCAGAAGGAAAAGCGCAAAUGAGAGCCGGAUCAAAAGAGGAUAAACGGGGCCAGACGGAGUGCAAAGAAGAGAAGCCCGCCGUGAUCGAGACCACUGUUUUACACACAUGAGAGGACACUUAUAGAGAACUGCCAGAGAUGGGCUCAUGGCCUUGUGAAAAAGAGGUGUGCUUAACAUCUGCAGUGAACUUUUCAGCACUUUUGACUGUUUCUUUACAUGCAUGUUCACUUUUGCAUCAACGUCAACUCAAAAGCACUGUUUUAAAUAAUCUUUUUUGCAUGCAUUUUUAUUCUUUUUCUUUCAAUCACUCCCAAAACAAUUAGUUCAACGACUAAUUUUUUCCAAAGCAGCGUUUGUGAGCUUUUAAUGCACCUAGUGGCAAAGAAUGAAUUUGCAUUUUCAUUCAGAACCAACGCGAAAAGAUGGUCGGGCAAUAUGCUAAUAUUUCAUUUUGACAUCAACACGAGACGGCUUGGGACUCGUCAAACGACUCAUUUAAAUGAUUCAGAGUCGACUCUUUCUUUUGAGAGACAAUAACUUCAUACACGUUGCACUUUCAGAUUUCAAACCUCGCAUCCAUGUUUUCAUUCGCUUAGAGCUGUGUUACAUACGUAUAAGAUCAUUUACAAAAAUCCAUAAUAGGGGCCCCUUUUUGUUGCUCGGCAUUGGUGCUGAAGGUUCCAUAUAGAAGCAUGCUUGGAAAGCGCUGUAGACCUUUAAUAAGUAUGGACAAUGUGAACCCUUCACAGUAAGCUUUGAUUUCACGUUGACUCUAGUAAGUGCUUGUGUUCUCUGGCAUCGUUUGAUCCGUCCGUACACAAACUAUACAACAAAUACCAGAUGAAAAGUGUGAUGAAGUGGACAGACACGCACCUCCUUUUCCUAGAAAUUCCCAACUUCCCUCUGGACUCUCCAACACUGAGCCUGUAAAUCCCAGCGCGGCCCUCAGACGGUCCCGGGCUCAGACAGUGACUUGUAGAGGGGCGGCUUUUUGACCCCGAUCGCUGAGGGGGGAUUACUCUGAAUAAGCACACCCUCUUUUGUCUGGCUGUGUGAAACCCAACCAAAACUCUUCUCUUCUUCCGUAUCAUCCACUGAACAUAAAAGAAAAAUGAUACUGGCCAUAUAUAUAUUUAUAUAUACAAAAAAUUAUUUAUUAUUAAAAUGAUUAAGAAUUAUAUUUACUUUCAAGUCUUGUUCACAGCAGCUUUAUGUUAAUGCAUCUUUUAAGAAUGAGGCCCAGAGCCUUCUCUGACAGCAAACAAACAGCAAAUGCUGGUUAGGUGUGUUCUGAAACAUGGUUCGAACUGGUUUAUGCUGGUCAUUUGAUGGUCCUGAUCUCAGCUAGUUGCUGAGGCCCAGCUCAUGACUAGUUUUUAAUCAACUUAUGACCAGCUAAGGACCAGCUUAAAACAACAAACCAGCUGCAAUGCUAAAAAAUACCCAACCAGCAUAUGGUCUUUUUAUUCAACAGAGUGGUAAAAUAAAUAGCUUUUAAAGGAAUAACUGACCAAAGAGUAAUGGUGGUGAUGUUGGAGUCAUGUGACCGUGGUGUCUACAUUUAGCUUUUAUUAUUGCCAAUGAUAUUUAGAAUCCAUUAAAGUUGUGCUCAGUUAUGAAGAUUAUCAUGAUGUGGAAAAUAUGCAAGAAUCAUCAUCAUCAAGUAUCAUUAUCAUCAGCUUAUUUUCUACAUAUAAAAGCCAAUGAAAAAAAAACAAAAAACUAUGUAUAUUGUUUUUUUGCUUUUUUUAGCAAAAUGUGGCAUUUCAUCAAUUGCUUUGAAUAUUGAUCCCACUUUAUAUUAGGUGGUCUUAAAGGGCUCACGGCAUGAAAAUUUCCCUUUAUGAGUUUUUUAACAUUAAUAAGAGUUCCCCUACCCUGCCUCUGGUCCCCCAAGUGGCUAGAAACGGGGACAGAUGUAAACCGAGCCCUGGCUGUCCUGCUUCUCCUUCAGAUCGACCAAAUCUGAAUACAUUGUGCCUAUUUUUUGAUGGUAAUAGUUAAAGUGUUACCUAAAUAUCAACGCAGUGACAGUAGCAUAUUUUCAACUGUGCAUAUCUUUUGCACGAGGGAAGCGCUUUUAUAGAAUAUGAACAUCAUUUUAUCAUUGCAUUAGCUCUUUGCAAAGGAUUACAGACCAUAAAACUCUACCGAUUAGCACAGAAGCAUGUUUGGCACCACAACACCUGAAAUGAUCACCUAAUAGCCUGUUGCCUUUUAUCUUCUUCGAUCACUGCACACAAGCACCUUAUCAGCUGUAAUUACUGUAAAAGCAUCUUUUAAUAGCAGAGCUCCAGCUGUAAAAUGCUCUGUCCCUGCCUAUAAAUGAGAAAUAGAUCACAAUUACAGGAUUUAAGAUCAUAUUUGUGCACAGAACAUGUUGAAACAACCACAGGGACCAACUGGUAGCUUUUGUUGAAACUAGAUCAUUUAAAUAGAAUACAGAAUAUUAUAAAUACUUUGUAAGAAAAGUUAUGCAUGUAGUGUAGCGUGUGGCUAAAGACCCAAACCCAAUCAAUUUCAGUAUCAUUGGAAUAUUAGUUUUUAACAAAUGAGGCAUUUAUAUAGCUCUAUAUUGCGUGGUGCUGUGCACCCUGAGCUCUUUACUGUAAUAUGGGUUUUUUUUUCACUUUCAGAAAUAAAGGUACAAAAGCUUUUGCCAAUUCAAAAGGUAAAUGUUUGUACCUAAAGGGUGGUACAUUAGUACAUUAAAGGUACACGUUAUUACUUGGUGUACAUAUUUAAUAGGUAACUCAAUAGGUACAAAAGUUGAAAAAGAGAUAGCUUUUGUACCUUUAUUUCUGAGUUGUUGUUCCUGAACCACCACAAAUGUUCUAAAUUGUAGUCAUUUUAUUAUGCAUUGUUAUUUUUUUUUUAGUACAGUGCAAUUAUUAAUAAUCAGUGUAAUUAAUUUGAACCAUUUCCAUUUUGUAAACAACCGAAAUGAAUCAGAUUAUUUUAAAAGCAGGUUUAGAACGGCAUGAGGGCGAGUAAUUAAUGACAGAAUUAGCAUUUUUGCAGCUAUCCCUUUAAACUCUUCCACACCAAAAUCAUCUUUAAAGACCUUGCUUUGAGUCGAGCCGGAAUAGACCUCAUUCACACAAAGCAGAAACGUAGCAUUGUUCAAAAUGUCUCGCUAUGCCGAAGCAUUGAAAUUUCUUUUCACUGGAAGCAGAUGCCUAGCCUAACAAACAGCCCCAUUUUUCCAUUGUGUGACCGGCACAGUGCAGAGGCGAAGCUGUGGUCUCCUGGCACUGGCGUGAUUCGUCACCGAGUCCAGUGUCUGUGCGUUGAACUUCACUCCAUCUAUAUUGAUGAUGUGAAGCUUGCAUAUAGCCACUUGACCGUUGAAACCCAUUCCAUGAAGCCCCUGCCACACAGUUUGAGUGUUAGUAAUAUGUGGAUGUUUGGAUCUCUUCGGCUCUGGAGUCAGCUAGGAGCCUGAUUUCAUUUCUGAAUUCAACAAUUAGAGUUAGUUCAGCCACAAAUUAUAAUUACUCCACGAUCUAGUCUGGUUUAGGUGUAUAUGACUUUUUCUUUUCAGACGAAUCCAAUCGAAGUUAUAUUUAAAACAGGUUAAAAUACAUUUUGAAGCAAAGUGCCUCCAGGCCUUCUGAGCAGAUGGGAUAUUAUUUGUAAGAAUAAUAUCCAUAUAUUAAACUUUAUAUUACUAUUUAUGCACUUGAUUUUGCAUCAAAAUCUCAACCUCACUCACUGCCAUUAUAAAGCUUGGAUGAACAAAGACAAUUCUGAUUGUAUUUAUCUGAAAGUCAAUUAUAUACAUCUAAGACGGCUUGAGGGUCAGUCAUUCAUGGGGCAAUCUUCAUAUUUGGGUGAACUAUCCCUUUAAGAGGUGACAUCGGUCAGCCUAUCUGUGCUGUGGGUUAGCACGAGUCAAAACACGAUUUAGCUGUGAAACCCUACGAAGAAUCAAAAGCAUCUGAGAAACGAUCAGCACUAAAAAUACACAGAUGCUGAACGAGAAUUGAUUUGUGUGUAAAUCAGAACAAAACAGAGUCGAUGUUGAUAAAAAUGUUUUAUGGUUCUUCGCAAAACACAAGGUCCUGUUUAGACUGUGCUGAGAGAUGUUGUGGAAAAAGGGAUGCCUGACACACACGCACACACACACACACACACACACACACACUCGCACAGUCUCUUAAAGUGAAUCA